GACGAACGCUGGCGGCGUGCUUAACACAUGCAAGUCGAACGGAAAGGCCCUGCUUUUGUGGGGUGCUCGAGUGGCGAACGGGUGAGUAACACGUGAGUAACCUGCCCUUGACUUUGGGAUAACUUCAGGAAACUGGGGCUAAUACCGGAUAGGAGCUCCUGCUGCAUGGUGGGGGUUGGAAAGUUUCGGCGGUUGGGGAUGGACUCGCGGCUUAUCAGCUUGUUGGUGGGGUAGUGGCUUACCAAGGCAUUGACGGGUAGCCGGCCUGGGAGGGUGAACGGCGACAUUGGGCCUAAGAGAGGGACCAGACGCGAACGGGAGGCAGCAGGGGGGAACAUUGCACAGUGGGCGGGAGCCGGAGGCAGCAACGCCGCGUGCGGGAUGACGGCCUGCGGGUUGUGAACCGCUGUCGGCUGUGACGAAGCGGGAGUGACGGUAAUGGGUAAAGAAGCACCGGCUAACUACGUG
rnacentral:rRNA from 1 species